rnacentral:misc_RNA from 1 species
GAUGAAGAACGUAGUGAAAUGCGAUACGUAAUGUGAAUUGCAGAAUUCAGUGAAUCAUCGAAUCUUUGAACGCAUAUUGCGCUCUCUGGUAUUCCGGAGAGCAUGCUUGUUUGAGUAUCAGUAAACACCUCAACUUCCAUAUCUUUUUUGAAAUGGGAGUUGGACUUGAGUGAUCCCAACGCUUUUCCUCACCGAAAAGUGGCGGGUUACUUGAAAUGCAGGUGCAGCUGGACUUUUCUCUGAGCUAUAAGCAUAUCUAUUUAGUCUGCCUAAAAAACAGAUUAUUACCUUUGCUGCAGCUAACAUAAAGGAGAUUAGUUCUUGUGCUGACUGAUGCAGGAUUCACAAAGACAGGCUUCGGCCGACUCUGUAAACUCGAUCUCAAAUCAAGUAAGACUACCCGCUGAACUUAAGCAUAUCAAUAAGCGGAGGA